rnacentral:rRNA from 1 species
AACGAACGCUGGCGGCAGGCCUAACACAUGCAAGUCGAGCGCGCCCUUCGGGGUGAGCGGCGGACGGGUGAGUAACGCGUGGGAACGUGCCCUUUUCUACGGAAUAGCCUCGGGAAACUGAGAGUAAUACCGUAUACGCCCUUUGGGGGUAAGAUUUAUCGGAAAAGGAUCGGCCCGCGUUGGAUUAGGUAGUUGGUGGGGUAAUGGCCUACCAAGCCGUCGAUCCAUAGCUGGUUUGAGAGGAUGAUCAGCCACACUGGGACUGAGACACGGCCCAGACUCCUACGGGAGGCAGCAGUGGGGAAUCUUAGACAAUGGGGGCAACCCUGAUCUAGCCAUGCCGCGUGAGUGAUGAAGGCCUUAGGGUUGUAAAGCUCUUUCAGCUGGGAAGAUAAUGACGGUACCAGCAGAAGAAGCCCCGGCUAACUCCGUG